UACGUAGGGUCCGAGCGUUGUCCGGAUUUAUUGGGCGUAAAGAGCUCGUAGGCGGCUUGUCGCGUCGACCGUGAAAACUUGGGGCUCAACCCCAAGCCUGCGGUCGAUACGGGCAGGCUAGAGUUCGGUAGGGGAGACUGGAAUUCCUGGUGUAGCGGUGAAAUGCGCAGAUAUCAGGAGGAACACCGAUGGCGAAGGCAGGUCUCUGGGCCGAUACUGACGCUGAGGAGCGAAAGCGUGGGGAGCGAACAGG
rnacentral:rRNA from 1 species